rnacentral:tRNA from 1 species
GGAGAGAUGGCCGAGAGGCUGAAGGCACCGGUUUGCUAAACCGGCAUAGGUGGAAACGCCUAUCGAGGGUUCGAAUCCCUCUCUCUCCG